AGCACGUUAUGGUGGGCACUCUAAGGAGACUUGCCGGUGACAAACCGGAGGAAGGUGGGGGAUGACGUCAAGUCAUCAUGGCCCUUACGGCCUGGGCUACACACGUGCUACAAUGGUCGGUACAAAGGGUUGCCAAGCCGCGAGGUGGAGCUAAUCCCAUAAAACCGAUCGUAGUCCGGAUCGCAGUCUGCAACUCGACUGCGUGAAGUCGGAAUCGCUAGUAAUCGUGAAUCAGAAUGUCACGGUGAAUACGUUCCCGGGCCUU
rnacentral:rRNA from 1 species